ensembl:lncRNA
CUGCUCUGUAGAGAACACACUGGGAGAGGCAGCGCAAGGGCAGCCGUCACAGACCAUCUGGGGACCCAGCUCUGUCCAGAUGAGGGACAGUGAUGGCUUGAACUAGGGAGCCGGUAGAGGGUCUUGUGCAGAGUGGUGGGAUUUGGGGCAACUUUGCAAGGCAGCUCGGACAAAACCUAUCGGCAGAGUCCCUGAAUCCUCGACUUCUUUCUAGAAUUCUCUAUUUUCUAGAAUGACUGCCUUCCAGGGGAAAAUGGACCCAGAGAAGCUUCUGGUCUGGACCUGCUAAGGCUUGCUGCUCCCCCCGCAUCAUGGGUGGGUGGGCUGUGAUGGCAGCUCCAGCCUCAGCAAGCCCCUGGCAACAGGAAACUCCGUUCCAACACCACAAGGCUUACACUGUAGGCCUGCUUCUGCCCUUGGGCCCCCAGACAAGUCUGAUCUUGAGGGGAUGUGGCUGAGCUUGUCCUGUGGGCUGCUGUCAGUCCUACCCACCCUGAGUCCUGGGGGCCACACCUCCCCAGCCCUCCAGGCUCUCCCUGCUCACCUCUCUGCCAAGGCCCACACUCAACAUGAGUUUUCUCUUCAUCUACAGAACCUUCCAGUGACUGAUUGGUAUGGAAACUUUCUAUGGUUUCAGAAAAUGAUCAGUAGGGCCUGGAAUCAAUAGCUUUAUUCACAUUGUGGGAUAAAAGGUUAAUUUGACCCUUUCCAGGGGUGUUUUUAUAUUUAUAGCCUUUAAAACAAGAAUGAGGGCCAGGCACAGUGGCUCACACCUGUGAUCCCAGCACUUUGGGAGGCUGAGGAGGGCUGAUCGCUUGAGGUCAUCAGGAGUUGGAGACCAGCCUAGUCAACGUGGUGAAACCCCGUCUCUACUAAAAAUACAAAACUUAGCCUGGCAUGGUGGCAUGAACCUAUAGUCCCAGAUACUCAGGAGACUAAGGCAGGAGAAUCGCUUGAACCUUGGAGGCAGAGGCUCCAGUGAGCCAAGAUUGCACCACUGCACUCCAACCUGGGUGACAGAGCAAAACUCCAUCUCAAAAAAAAAAAAAAAAAAGAGUUAUGGAAGGGAAGAUAGAGGCAUUGAUGACUGCUUGAUGCAGAGAUGUGGGGGGCGAGGUCAUCAUUGUGGUGACCACACACAAAUUCACAUCAUGUGCACUAGGAGUGGGAAGUACCUGUCCCUUGCCAAGUCUGUGUGGGCCGUAUGUAGUAGUGAGGAUCUGGUGCCCAUGACAACAAAGCAUGCCACGAUUGAUUGGUGAUGUCUGCCCUGGGCUGGGGCGGGGCAGUUUGCCUCUCAGGACCGGGAUGCUGUUUGGCUUUGAGAGAAUCUGCUUCUCUCUUUGCGCGUGAUUCUGCCAUGGUUUCCUGUACCAGCAGUACACCUGGAAGUACACGACUCACACUCACAGUUUUCCAGGUAAGUCAUAGACAAUGUACAUGUACCUUCAGAAUCAAGCAGAAACUUCUAGCAAGGACAGUGUGCUGGAAAUCAGGAGUUCUGCGUUUUAGACCAGAAUCCCUCAACAAUUGCACCGUGACAUUUUAGACACAAUAAUUCUUUGUCUUGGGGGUCGUGCUGUGAAACGUCCCUCGGUGCACAGGACCUGUACACUGCACUCCAGCCUGGGUGACAGAGUAAAACUCCAUCUCAAAAAAAAAAAAAAA